rnacentral:rRNA from 1 species
UUCCUUGUCGGUUAAAUACCGACCUGCAUGAAUGGCGUAACGAGAUGGGAGCUGUCUCAAAGAGGGAUCCAGUGAAAUUGUAGUGGAGGUGAAAAUUCCUCCUACCCGCGGCAAGACGGAGAGACCCCGUGGACCUUUACUACAGCUUGACACUGCUAUUUGGAUAAGAAUGUGCAGGAUAGGUGGGAGGCUUUGAGUAUAUGACGCCAGUUGUAUAUGAGCCAUUGUUGAGAUACCACUCUUUCUUAUUUGGGUAGCUAACCAGCUUGAGUUAUCCUCAAGUGGACAAUGUCUGGA